rnacentral:rRNA from 1 species
UGUCUGGCGGCGAUAGCGCGGUGGUCCCACCUGACCCCAUGCCGAACUCAGAAGUGAAACGCCGUAGCGCCGAUGGUAGUGUGGGGCUUCCCCAUGCGAGAGUAGGGAACUGCCAGACUU